AUGACGUCAAGUCAUCAUGGCCCUUAGCCCAGGGCGACACACGUGCUACAAUGGCCGGUACAGAGGGCUGCGAAACCGCGAGGUGGAGCUAAUCCCAAAAAGCCGGUCUCAGUUCGGAUUGGAGUCUGCAACUCGACUCCAUGAAGUCGGAAUCGCUAGUAAUCGCGUAUCAGCCAUGACGCGGUGAAUACGUUCCCGGGCCUU
rnacentral:rRNA from 1 species